rnacentral:lncRNA from 1 species
GCUCCUCUUCUCCCGGACAUCAGAUGACACAUUGAUUAAGAAAAAUAAUUAAUAACAUUGUUUCCAACAUAAUUUAAUUCAUGAAAAAUAAACUUCAACCACAAAUAAAAAUAUGAAAAAACAACAGUUUUAUUGAUAAACAAUGGGGGUACAAAUCUGUUCCUCCCUUGAUUCUUCUCUCUUGAUUUUCUUCGUAAUUCGAGAACCGUCAGUAGCAUAUUUCUCGAAUGUAUGAAGAUUUGGAUAUGAAUUUCUCCGUAAUUCGAGGGCCGUUAGUGGCGUAUUUCUCGAACGUAGGAACAUUUGAAUUUGAUCUCCAUGAAAGGAGAGUUUGUCUUCUUGAUGUAUUUGAUUAUCAAGAAAAGAGGGUUUUUGAUCUUUAUGAAUAUCCCAUGAAUUUAUUGGGACUUUUCAAAGAUCUCUUUGUGAAUAUCCCGUGAAUUUGUGGGAUACUGGAGAUGCCUUCCUUGAUUCUUCUCUCUUGAUUCUCUCCGUAAUUUGAGGGCCGUUAGUGACUUAUUCUCGAACAUAGGAUGAUCUCUUUAUGAAUAUCUAUGAUUUUGUGCGAUAUUGAAGAUCCCGAUCUUACGAAUGCCCAUCCGCUUAUGGGAUAUUCAGGAUGCUUGUUUCAGCGAACAUGUUAUCCUUUAAAUAGGCGAGAUUUAGGGUAAAGUAGCCUUCUAGAACUCUAACAGAAUUUGAAUUCUUGUUAAAGAGUCCACAAAUUUUAGAUGUCUACAAACAUGACUAGUUUACCAUAGUAUCCCUAUUAAAUGAUGUUUACAUUUUAAUUUGAAGAAAAAGAAAUUAAUGCAAAGGGUAAAACAUGAAAAAAAAAAAUUCUCUUUUUGAUUAAUGAAAAAAGACAAGUAAAAUAAGAAAUUAAAUUAGGAAAUUUGAGACAAAUAAUUUGAGACGAGGGAGUAUUUUUUGAAAAAAAAAUUAGAAUUAGCCAAUAUAGAGCCUUAAUUGUAACUUUUAUAGCAACAAUUUCAUAAUUACGAAAAAUAGUAAAUUAUAUUUUGUAUUUAAGUAAACUGUUGCUAUACAAAUACAUAUACAACAAAAUUUAUUGUCCUUGUUUUACUCAAAUUAGUUGAGUUAAGUAAGGAUAAUUAUUCCAUUUAAUUAAAUUCUCAUAAAUUACUCUUAUUUAAAUUAGUAGAUUCCUUUUUCAAAUCAAACUCAAAUAUGAAUCAUUAUUUUCAUGAUCUUCAAAAUUUCAAAAUAUGAUUCUCUUAUAUCUCUAACUAUUUAUUCUUAUUAGUUUUUUCAUUUUUUAUUUUAAUUUCUUUUUUUUUUAUUUUUUUCUUUCCACUUUAUUUUCUCUCUUCUACUUCUUUUCUUUUCUUUUCUUUUCUUUUUUUUUCCUUUUCUUAUAUUUUUUUUCGUUUUCUUCUUCUUCUUCUUUUAAUUUUUUUUUCGUUUUGUUUUUACACUUCUAUUUCUCUUUCUUCUUCUUUUUUACUUUUUCACUUCUUUUUUUUGAAUUUUUAUUUUUCAUUUUUGUUUUUUUCUAUUUUUUUGAUUUUUUUUUAUUUUUUUUUACUCUUCUAUCCCUAUCUCUUAUUUUUAAAAGACAAAUAUCUAUAUCAUAGAUACAUAUUAAAAUAAUAUACAAAAUAAACAGACAUACAGAUCUGCAUGUGUAUUUACGGUAAAAACAUACAUAUACAUCUGCAUAUGUAUUUACAGAAAUACAUAUCUGACUCACAUGUAUAUAUAAACAUAUAAGACACGAAAUCUCUAUAACAAAAAUGACAAUUAUAUACAUAUACAUAUAGGUAGUAAAAAAAUACAUAUACAUAAUUUAAAACAGUAAAAGAAAAUAAAUAAGUAUAUAUAUUACCCUUUAAAAUGACAUAAUAUGUACAGUUCAAAGACAAAUUCAACACCAUAUAAAAUACAUAUAGCUCUGCAUAUGUAUUUACAGAAUACAUACCUGAUCCAUAUGCAUAUUCUUUUUUUAUAUGAGUCACCUUUUAUUUCGCAAAUUCAUAGAAAGAUAUAUAGUAUAGUUAUAUUUGUUACUAUUUAAUAUGAAUAUGAUAUGUAUUUCGUAAAUACAUAUGUAUGUUUUGUACUGUAAAUACAUAUUCAAAUUUGUAUGGCUAUGUAUUUUGUAUGUUUUUUGAACAUGUGUAUGUGAUAGACAUAUUUGUCUUUUCAAAAAUAAAAGUUAGAGAUAGAAGAGUAAAAAAAUGAAAAAAAAAUGAAAAAAAGAAAAUUGAAAAGGAAGAAAGAGAAAUAAAGGGGAAAAAAUAGAAAAAAAAAAGAACAAAACGAAAUAAAAAAAGACAAAAAAGAUAUGAGAAAGGUAAAAAAGAAAACGAAAAAGGGAAAAGGGGAAAAGGAGAAAUAAAAGAGAGAAAAUAAAGUAGAAAUAAAAAAUGAAAAAGAAAAAGAAAAUAAAAAUAAAAAUAAAAAAAUAAAAUAAUAAAAAUAAGAUGGAAAAAACUAACAAGAAAAAAAGGUAGAGAUAUAAGAGAGUGAAAGACAGUAAUGAUGUUUUACUUUGAAAACUUGAACAUCAUGGAGAUAAUUAUCUUCAAAUAUGAAAAAAAAAAAAAAAAAAAAGAAAAAAAGAUAUGAGAAAGGAAGAAAAAGAAGAGAAUAGAAGAGAGAAAAUAAAGUGAAAAUAAAAAAUAAAAUAAAAAAAUAAGAUAGAAAAAAAGGGUAAAAGAUACGGCUAUAUUUGGGAGGGGUGAAAUGCUGGAGUAAAAAUAGGAAAAUGUAAAGUAGUGAGAGUAAAACAUGCACUUACCUAGUUAAUGAGUAAAAUAAUGUUACUCUUGAUAUAAAUUGUAAUUUUAUAAAAGUAUUGUUAUUUAUUAUAAUUAUAAUUUUAAAUAUGCUACUUUGUGUAAUUUUUUCUAUUUUUUAUGUACAUCUAUUGAAUUUGAAUACUCUAAACACUACAUGUUGGCUCAAUGGGACUCUAAGUUGAAGGCUCAAGCACUGUAUAUUUGCUUUUUGAGCCCUUUUAAUAAAAUUUUGUAUGUCACUAAUUGCGGGUAUCUUUAUUCAACUACUGCUUUUAGGAGACAUUAACGUUUUCACUUUUUAAUGUUAUUGUUCAAUGCUUCUUUGUUUUGUUUUUCUAAAAUAUGGAAACAUAAAAGUAUAUCAUAUUUGACGGUUUUACAAUUAAAUAAAUGGAUAUUUUAUUCGAUAUGAAACUAUAAUAAAAUAGGGAUCGUUUGGUUGGGGAAUAAGUUACUCUGGCAUAAUUAAUUUCGAGAUUAGCUAUUUCGAAAUUAGUUAUCUCAGCAUAUAUAUAAGAUAACUUAUUCCAACACUAAAGCAUAAAUGGUGGGAUAAAUAAUUUCUUGGCUAAUUGAUACCUCAAACCAAACAUAAGAUAAAAUAAUUCUAUAAUUUAUUCAAAGACUAUUAUAACUUAUACCUCACAUCAAACUACCCUUAGUGUUCAAAUGCCAUUAAAUAAUCAUAUUACUUUAAACAGCUAAUAAAAAAUGUAACUUGUAUUUUCUCCCAAUUUAAUGUAAGUAAUAACAAAUAUAGUUUAUUUUCAUGAUUGUGUAUUUUUAUAAUAUUUGUAUUAUUAACUUGGAAUACACUACAACGCAUGUGUCCAAAAAUUAAUAAUAAAAAAAUAAACACGCUCCUAAUCGUGUUUCAACAAAUUGCUAGUAAUAAUUUAACAUUGAGGAGAGAAAAUAAAAUCAAUUUAUAAGGAAUAUUAAAACCAUAAAAUAGAUUAAAAGAACCUUUAUUAUUAACCAAUGAUGCAACAAUGUGAAAGAACAAAAAAAUUACAUAAAUUUUUUUCAUUACACAAGUGAUGUCAAGUGCCAUGAUCUCAGAUGCAUGAUCAUUUAUUAUGCAUUCAAAGAAGUAAAACUAUGAACUUAAUUAAUCAAUUAAUUAACAUGUGUGUAUUGAAUUUUUUAUAAUGAUCUUCUCUUUCACCAUAACUUCAUUCACCUUUGUUAUUCCUUUAAGUAAGUGAAGGAAUGCUUUGUUCAUUCCUAAAGAAGUUUGAAGGAUUCACCUUAGUCUUCACAUAAACCAAUCUAUCAAAAUUAUUAUUGAAAUACUUAAUCCCCCAAACCUUAGCUUGCACAAAGCUUGUAUAUCCCUUCAUGUUGUUCAUUCCAAUAUCAAGAUCCCAAUAGUUGAUAUAAGCAGCUCUUGGGAACUUUGAAACAAAAGGUGUCAUGUAAGAAUAAUGCCUUCUUAUCCAAUUUAUAUGCCUCUCAGCUACUUCAUCUUCUCCUUCAUCCCAAUACACCAUAUGUUGGAUAUUGUAUAAAUUUCCAGCUCUAUGGGGGAACGGGAUAGCGGAUGGUGAAAUCUCAUCCAUCCUCCCACCAUAUGGACUAAACAUCACUUGUGCUUCAUCUUCAAAGAACAAUCUCCAUAUUCCUUCGAGACCACCCUCUGGAAUUGGCUGAAGUACGAAGUCUGAUUUUGCCUUAAAGUAACGUGUUGAGGGUUGAAUCCUACUCAGCAAGACAUCAUGAGAUUCACCUCUAGGAAACCCUGCAAAGUAUAAUGUGGACUCUAUCCAACUCAUCUCAAUGCAAUCUUCUCUUCUCAACCCUAAUUCAGGAAAAUUUUCUUGCAUGAUGGGAAGUAAUCGAUCCAUUUCACCAAGGAAAAUGGAGUUGAAUGAAGCUACAAUUUGUUUGUCACCUGGAUCACUUGUGUUCAAUCUACUAAUCAAGAUGCUAAUGAACAAAUCUUCAUGGAAUCUCGGACCAACAAAUUGCCACUUAUGAACAAGCUUAGUGGCAUUUUGUUUCAAUGUCUUGUCAAGUGUGAAAACAGUUACUUUCUCAGGAACAUCUACCAAUUUUACCUUCCAUGCAAGGACAAGUCCAAAGCUAUUACCACCACCUCCUCUAAUUGCCCAAAAUAGAUCUUCCCCCAUAGAAUUUCUAUCAAGAAUUCUUCCAUUGGUGUCGAUUAAACGUGCAUCAACAAUGUUAUCUGCAGCUAGGCCAUAUUUUCUCAACAUAACACCAUAACCACCUCCACUAAAAUGUCCCCCAACACCAACCGUUGGACUAACACCAGCAGGGAAUCCUAGGGUUUUGCUUUUCUGUGCAAUUGUAUUAUAGAGUUCACCAUUAGUUGAUCCAGUUCCAAUCCAUGCACUCGUUUCAUUGACAUUAACAUUGAUUGUUCUAAGGUUGAUAAGGUCAACCAUAAUGAAUGGAACCUCGGAGACAUAAGAAAGGCCUUCAUAGUCAUGUCCUCCACCACGAAUCCUAACGUGCAUCCCAGUUUUUUUAGCACAAAGAAUGACUUGUUGGACAUUGGGUUCACUUACUGGGGUGACAAUCACAAGAGGUUUAGGAGUUUUAGUUGUAUUAAACCUUGGAUUUUUUAUGGAGAAUUGGAGGAUUGAUGAAAAAGAAGAGUUAUUUGGGGUGUAAAGGUUGGAAAAUGUUUAGUUACUAUGAGAUAGACACUGAAUGAAUUCUUCAUGAUUAUCAGCUAGUGCUGCCCAUGAAGCUGUUGAGAAAACAAGAAGUACCAAAAGAAAGGAAAACCAAGAAUUCUUCAUAUUGCUUGAGAUUUUGUUUUGUUUGUGUUAUGGAAAUGAAACUGGAAAACCCAUUCUAUUUAUAAUAUGUUAGGAGCUAAUUGUUUGGUUGAACUUUCUAUAAUCAACCAUAUGCGUGUAAAAUGUUUAUACUUGGUUGUUGACAUGAGGUUAAGCCAGAUCAUGAUAUCAUGAGAACAAGUCACUUUGCAUUUUUACAAUAAAUAAUAUUUUAAAUUUAAAUUGUGGUUAAAAUCAACUAACGUUGAGUUCUAUUGCAUGAAAACAACUAAGAUUGACACAUAAUCAGAAACUUACUUAAAACUAUGGCACUUUAAUUUACUAAAAAAUCACAUUUUUUCUCAUAUCUUGGUGAAAAUCAACAGUCCUAUUAAUUGGAUGAAAAUCAUAAUAAUAAUAAUAUUAUUAUUAUUAUUAUUAUUAUUAUUAUUAUUAUUAUUAUUAUUAUUAUUAUUAUUAUUAUUAUAACAAUAACAACAAGAAGAAGAACGCAGCAACAGCAACAGUAGUAAUAUUAUUAAUAAUAGUAUUCUAUAUUGAAUAAUGUACUCCUAAUCUGAAAGCUUUCUAAACCGACUUUUCUUGAUUGUGUGAAAAAUAAUAAAAUAUGUCACUAAACUAACAAUUUUUGCCUACUAAUAAGAAAAAAAAAUGAAAAAAAUGUAUAUCGCAUGGAAGAGAUUAUUAGUUAUUUUAUGAUCUACUGAAAAUAACCUCUUUGCUUCAUCUAAGUUAGUGGUAUGAUCUGCAUACAUUUACCCUCCUCAGAUCUCACUAUAUAAGAAUAUACUGGAUAUGUUGUUGUUGUAAAGAAAAAAAAAAAAAAAAAAACCAAAAUGGAAAAUUAAAAAAAUUUUAUUUCAUGAAGAUAAUGACCUAAUAUCUUCUUUUUUUUUCACAGGUGAUGAUGGGAUAAGAUUUUCUUCUUUCUUUAAAAAAAAGGUAACAAAAUUGUGGAACUUUCUAAUUAUCUUACUCAUAUAUGUUAUAUGCAAAGAGUAUUGUAUAGUAAGAUUUGUAUUAGAAACCAAAUGCCUAAUUGAAUAAAUAACUCAACAUUAAAAUGUAUACAUGCAAUUCAACAAUAACUUGAAUGUAUUCAUCUAUCUCAUUAUGUUUUACAGUUUCAUAAUUCAUUGUUUCACUGUCACAUCAGAUCAAUUAGACGUUUUCUUGUAAAUUGUUUAGAUUGACAAUAACAUAGUAUUAAGGGAGAAAGAUACAAAUAGUACUUUGGCUAAAUAUAUUAAUACGAAAUAACCAUUAAAUUUUAUUUCUACUUUUAGUUUUAGCCAUUUGUUGACACAUUUUAUACAGUACUGAUAUAAUUUUGAUAGACAACUUAUACAGAUAUAUAUUUUAUACAAAAAAAAUAGAAUUCAUAUAUGCAGCUUAUACAUGUACAUAUCUUAUAAAAUGAUGAUAUAAUUUUUAGGCCAAACUCAUCGGUGGCCCCCCAAACUUGGCACGAACUUUCAUUUAGGCGCUUCAAGUGGACGUUGUUCACUUUUAACACCUCAAGUAGCUACAAAGUGUGUCACUUUGACACCUUUUGCUGAAUCAGCAAAGAGAGUGUGUUGCACUCGCUGCCAGGCGCAUUUUAGGGUAUAUAACAUAUAAAUGAACCAAUUAUAAAAGGACAUUUGACAUUUUUAUAAAAAUAAUUUUUAUAUAAUUAAUUUAAAUUAAAAAAAGAAUUAAUAAUCCCACCCCACCCUUAUAUCAUCUUUCCUCCCCACCCCCAUCCAUUAGUUUUCCAUCAUUUUUUUUUUCUUAAUACAAUUGAUUUUUAAUAAUUUGGAAGAAUGCAAGUUGGUGCAGAUUGUAGACUUCUUCUUCUUAUAUGUUGGGAUUUGAUGAGACUAUCAUGGUAUUUUUGAGAAAGUAACAAAAAUGGUCCAUAUGUUGAGAAAAUGACAAAAAUGAUUUUCGUCGAUGAAAUAACGAUAUUUGUUGUUGUUGGCUUGGUGAAUUUGUGCUAUAUGUUUUGAAUUUGUUGAGAAGUGAAUUUGUUGUUGACAAAAAUUAUUGUUGAGAAGUGAAUUUGUCUUGUGCAGAAGUGCGAUUAUUGGCUUGGUUAGCGGUUGGGGGGACUGGAGAAGAUGACUUUGGGAUUUGGGGAGUGGGGAUGGAGGUGGGGGAGGGCAAAUGAAGAAGAUGACGGGAGGGGGGAGGGCUGCUAUGUAGAGAAGAUGACUUGGGGGAGGGGGGCUGGGGGGGCUGAGUGUUGAAAAAGAUGUCUUUAGAGUUUGGGGGUGGUGGGGGUUGGAUUGAUAAUUUUAUAAUUAUUUUUUAAAAUGCCACGUGUCAGUAAUUAAUUGGUUCUUUUAAUUUAAUUAUGUGUAUAUAUAUAUUAAUAAGUUGGAUAAUCAUGUAUUUUGGCCUUUUAUUUUUUUAAAAAAAAUUAAUUGUGAAUAUAAAUAAUGAUGUGACAAUUUAAAUGAGUUGACACAAAUCAAUUGGUUGUUUUGUCCAUGUUGGCAGCGAGUGCAACACACUCUCUUUGCUGAUUCAGCAAAAGUGUCAAGUGGCUACUUGAGGUAGGGGUGUCAAGUGGGCCGGCCCGACCCGGCCCGACUACCUAACCCGGUUCGGUUUGACCCGGCUCGGUAAGCCCUAGGGCUUUAGGGUUCCGGAUCCCGGACCGAUUAUUUUGUUAAAAUGGGCCCGAUUAACCCGGACCAGACCAAGCCCGAUCCAGGUCCGCCGGUUAACCGGCCCGGCCAGGCCCGGCCCGAAAAAAAAUAAAUAUAUAUAUAUNNNNNNNNNNNNNNNNNNNNNNNNNNNNNNNNNNNNNNNNNNNNNNNNNNNNNNNNNNNNNNNNNNNNNNNNNNNNNNNNNNNNNNNNNNNNNNNNNNNNNNNNNNNNNNNNNNNNNNNNNNNNNNNNNNNNNNNNNNNNNNNNNNNNNNNNNNNNNNNNNNNNNNNNNNNNNNNNNNNNNNNNNNNNNNNNNNNNNNNNNNNNNNNNNNNNNNNNNNNNNNNNNNNNNNNNNNNNNNNNNNNNNNNNNNNNNNNNNNNNNNNNNNNNNNNNNNNNNNNNNNNNNNNNNNNNNNNNNNNNNNNNNNNNNNNNNNNNNNNNNNNNNNNNNNNNNNNNNNNNNNNNNNNNNNNNNNNNNNNNNNNNNNNNNNNNNNNNNNNNNNNNNNNNNNNNNNNNNNNNNNNNNNNNNNNNNNNNNNNNNNNNNNNNNNNNNNNNNNNNNNNNNNNNNNNNNNNNNNNNNNNNNNNNNNNNNNNNNNNNNNNNNNNNNNNNNNNNNNNNNNNNNNNNNNNNNNNNNNNNNNNNNNNNNNNNNNNNNNNNNNNNNNNNNNNNNNNNNNNNNNNNNNNNNNNNNNNNNNNNNNNNNNNNNNNNNNNNNNNNNNNNNNNNNNNNNNNNNNNNNNNNNNNNNNNNNNNNNNNNNNUAUAUCUCAUUUAAAGUAUUACAUAUACAAUUAUACAUAGAAUAGAGUGUAUAUAUGUGAAUAGAUCUUCUAUAGACGUGUAUAUUUAACGUAUACAUGCGUAUAUGUUUCAUAAAUUAGUAUAUAACUAUAGAAAUAUAUAUUGUAAUGUAUAUAUAUUAUAGCAUAUUUGAUUUAAAGUAUUACAUAUACAUGGAAUAGAGUGUAUAUAUGUGAAUGGAUCUUCUAUAGACAUGUAUAUUUAACGUAUACAUUACUUUAUGUUUUAUAAAUUAGUAUAUAUAUUGUAGUAUAUACUUUUUUUAAAGUAGUACAUAUAUAUNNNNNNNNNNNNNNNNNNNNNNNNNNNNNNNNNNNNNNNNNNNNNNNNNNNNNNNNNNNNNNNNNNNNNNNNNNNNNNNNNNNNNNNNNNNNNNNNNNNNNNNNNNNNNNNNNNNNNNNNNNNNNNNNNNNNNNNNNNNNNNUUAUAUAUAUAUUGUAGUGUAUAUAUAUAUAUUAUACUAUUAUAGCAUAUGUUUUAUUUAAAGUAGUACGUAUAGUCAUAUAUAAUUAUAUAUUGAAUGGUACAUAUAUGUGUAAUUGUUUAUAUAUUUUUUUAAAAAUAUAUAUUGUAUAUUGGAGUGUAUAUAGUGUAUAUUGGAUUAUUUAUUUAUUUUUUAAACGAGUUUGACCGGUUUUUAACCGGGUUUUGGUGGGUUUGACCGGGUUGGGUUAAGUGGGCCGGGUUAGGGUGGGUUUUAAUUUUUUUACUGUUUGGCCCGGCCCGGUUAACGUCAAACCCGGCCCUUAACCGGCCCACAACCCGGUUAAAAUGGAAGGGCCGGUUCCGGGUUGGCCCGACCCGGCCCGUUUGACACCUCUAACUUGAGGUGUUAAAAGUGAACAACGUUCAAUUGAGGUGCCUAAGUGAAAGCUCGUGCCAAGUUUAGGGGGCCACCGAUGGGUUUGACCUAAUUUUUAUGCACAUCAUAUAAAAAAUGCAUAUUUUAUAUAACAAUAAUAUAAUUUCUAUACACAUUCUAUUCGUAAUAAUAAAAAAGUUGCUAUACACAUAGUAUAUACAAUUUUUAGAUAGCAACUAUAUAGUCUUUAUACAUAUUCUACACUUCACUAAUAAUCAAAUUGACAAGAAAGUUGUAGAUUCAGCGAAGAAUUUAGUACUUCUCAAUUUCUAACUGAUCAAUUUGAAUUAAUCUUUCCAUAAAUUUCCUAUUCUAUUUUUUUAUGAACUAUAUCACUACGAUAUAUAAAUUAUAUCAAUAUGAUGUAUAUAAUGUAUUUGAACUAUCUUAGUCGGAAUGACCCAAAUUAGGAAAAAUUCAUUUUGUGGAAAUAAAAUGGCUGAGUGCCCAUAUUUUGAGUCGCAUUUAAAAUGGUUAUUUUUGAUGAAAAGAUUUUCCCAAAAGGGCCAUAGGGUGUCUUUUUCCUAGUAUGAAACCCAACUAUAUAUUUGAUAGCAUGAUAAUGUUAUUUACUUUCUGAAAAUAUGUACCUUAUUUUCUUGAAAAAAAAAUGACAUUAAUUGUCUAAAUACACAAAAUAAUUAGAUACAUUAACUAAUAUACACCAAACAUUAUUGUUGUUAGUCGAACUAACUAAUACACACUUGCUCGUAACAAUGCCUAACAAAAGACACAAUGCCUAAUAAAAGACUUGGGAAAGAUACCCCCUAAAACAAAGCUAAUUACAUGAAAUUGACCCCUCCCUAACAGAUUUCUCCACAACCAAAUCAGCCAAAUGUAGUUAGCUCAAUACCCCCUUCCUAAAUUGUAGUGAAAAUAACGAAUUAAUCCUAUUAAUUGUGGUUUUUAAAUUGUGCCGCCAACUUCCCAAUUUCUUAUAUUGUGCAACCAACUUCCUUUUUUUUUUUUUCUAACUACUUUGUUUAUCUUUUUUUUUUUUUUUCAAAAGUAAAUUUAGUUGUUUCUCUUUUUAUAUCCAUUUUUGUCUUAAGCUUCUUUUGUUGUUUUGUUAGAUUAUCUUUUUUUUUUCCCUUGCUGAACUUUUGCCUUUGUAAAAAAAUAAAAAUAAAAAUAUUAAAAUUUACUAGCUUAUUUAUUAAAAUUUAAAUUAAUAAAAAUUAUAUUUUAUGAAAAAAGAACUUAAAAUACCUUAAACUAUUAAAUUUGGUACAAAAGUACCUCCGUUAAUAUGUUAGUUCUAAAAUGUCCUUGAAGUCACCUAUUGACUCUAAAUUGUCCUUAUAACUGAUAAUUUUUGAAUUUACAAAAGUAAAAAACAUAAAUCAUUAGACUACAAUAAGAAAUAACUAAGGAAAAUAUUAAAAUCUAACUUACUAGAAAAUAUAUUUUGCAAAAAAAGAACUUAAAAUACCUUAAACUAUUGAAUUUGGUACAAAAGUACCCCGUUAAUCUGUUACCUCUAAAAUAUCCUUGAAGUCACCUAUUGACUUUAAAUUACCCUUAUUUUUAUCGAUCCACUUGAAAAUAAAGUUAAUAAAUUCAGUUAUUACGUGUACCUAAUUAAUGAAUUUCAAUUCAGUAGUAAGUAAUCAGAUUAUAAAUUGAUAUUAAGGGUGUGUUUGGUAUGAUGGAAAAUAUUUUCUAUGAAAAAUAUUUUUCUAGAAAAUGUUUUCAUAGAAAAUAAGUUGGUGUUUUAAUUAUUUUCUUAUGUUUGGUUGUUGAGUAGAAAAUAUAUUUUCAAAAAAUAUUUUAUGGUGUUUGGUUGGUGAAUAGAAAAUAUUUUUUUUUCUACCUAAAUUUUAACUUUACAUGAGCGUGUGACCCUCUAAUUAAAAAUAUAAUAUAUUUUCUAAAACAUAAUAUUUACCUACACAUUUUUAAUCAUUCGAUCAGUUUGUAUGAGAUGUGACAUCAACAAUUAUACAUUUGUUUGACCAAAUUUAGAAAAUAAUGUAAUUUUUUAUCACUUAUUGAUGAAAUAAAUUUAUAAUUAUGUUUUUUUAUUUUAUUUAUUUAUUAAAAGGUAACUUCUUAAUACGAUUUAUGAAAAAAGGGAAAAAAGAGUGAGUUAGGUGGUACUUGAUUUGACAAAACGAAGUAAUAAUUUUUUAAAAAAAUUGGUAAGAAAUGUAAUAAAAAGUUAUAAUUUAUAAAUUGUAAUAAAAAGUUUUAAUUUAUAAAAGUUAUAAAGUUUUAAUUUAUAAUUUUUUUAAAAAAACUCAGUGUACUAACACAUCACUUCUUUAUGUCAAAUCAUGUUAACAUAAUAAAUUAUUACGUUUUAUAAAAACGUUUUGUAAAAAGUAAUAUAUUAUUACUACGUUUUACUAAAACUUUUUUAUUGUACACAUCCGUUAUCAAACCGUUAAAAAAAGGUAUAAAACGUGAUAAAUUAUUACGUUUAGCUUAGGUAAUUUAUUAAAUACGUGACCUAUUUUGGUCACUUUAUUCAUAUUUUGGUUUAUUUUUAUUCCAAAUUCUCAUAAGUCACAUCUCAAUAUUUUCUAGAAAAUAACUUCCCUUGGCUCACGAGGGGAAGUCAUUUCUUUCAAAUGGGAGAAAAUGAGUUCCUUUGAAAAAUAUUUUUUCAAAAUUAUAUUACAACCAAACAAGAAAAAAUAUUUUUCAUCGUACCAAACACACCCUAAGUGACAGUGAAUUUGGUAUAAAAGUAUUGGAAAUGGGUCAAUAAUUGACUUGGAAAUUAAAAACAAAUACAAUUACAAAACCACCUCACUUACUCCCCUCCCCCCCUCUCGACCCGAAAAGAAGUACUUCAAAGAAACUAAAUUUGAAGGUGAAAUGGAAAUUAAAUCCGAGGCUCAUACGAGGAGGGAAUAACAUGUUUAGAGAAAGAAUUAUCAUUAUUACAAAAGAGUAUUGCUUGUUCUUAAGUAAAUAAAUCAAGUCAAAACAAAAUAUUAUUGAGUUUAACUUCUAUCAAUAUAAAAGAAAUUAUAUUAUCAGGACAAUCGUAAGAGUAAUAAAAUAUAUCUGUCCAUGGAAAAUAAGAUCAGUAACUGGAAAACUAGCACAAUUUAAUGUCACACUAAGGUUAAAGUAUAUUGAUUGUUUAAUUUUUCUUCGACAGAGUCAAGUGUAUGUAUGUUACUGUAUGUUACAAAAAAUCUAAAUAUAAUAUACACAUUCACACACACAACUUAUAAUAGCGUUACUCCUGCAUCCCACCCGACAUAUCUGGCUUCCACUUAGCUAUUCUGUGAGCUUGUUUUUUUAUAAUGUUUGACAAGAAACCCCGUAAGCCAAUGAGUAAUUGUACCUAAAUUUUUUUCGUACCCAUAGCUUGACCUUCACCUUUUUCUACGUGUACGGAUGUUGUGUCAGUCAAUACUUUUUAGUUUUACCCAUUCUUUUAGGAAUUGAGUGGAAUUUACUUUUUAUAUCUAAGCUAUAGGAAGAAGUAACUCGUUGAUAGCUAAUUUUACACUCAUUUCGUUGUUUCUCGUUAUAUGUGCUUCACAUACAAAGUUAGUUUUUUUUUAUAUAUAAAUAAGAGGUUCGGGAACAUUCGUUUCCCUGUCUUUUGUGAUCUACAUACUAUUUACUCUUUCUUAUUGGAUCCUUCUGUUCAAUACUUCUUGAUUGACCAUCCACUAAUUCUUCUUAUGAGCAUACAAGGUUAGAGGACCAAUUUGUUACUUCAUCUGUUUAUUUUAGGAUUUUAAAUUUGUUACGAUUAUCCAGUAUUAUUCUCAUCAUUUCAAUUUGUUCAUCUUACUCUGCUUUUCAGUUUAUUAAAAAGAAUUUAUUUUUUGACAAUUACUUAAAUUUUACUUUUCAUGUAAUAGAAUUAAAAUAGAAAGAUUGAAUGACAUUUUGGUAUAUUCUAAAUAUUUAUAAUUUGAGAUCAUAAUAUUCAAAAGUCUAAUUUUUUUUUUUUUUUAAACUCUGUAUCAAGUCAAAACCAAACAAAUUAAAACGGGAAGGUAUUAGUUAGCGAGUCCAAGAGAGGGUAAAUAACUCUGUUUCCAUUUGUAUUGCUCUAUCACAAUUGUUUUUGUUCAAAACUAAGUCUUUUCUUAUGCUUGAAUCGCAAGUUAUUGACGAAAAAUUAAAAGAAAAACUUCUGUUUUCUCCUAGAUUUCAUGCCUAGACGGAGGAAGUAUAUGUACGGUAAUGUUAAUAACCAGAACGUUUGCAUAUAUUGCAGGAAAUAAUUCGAGCAGAAUGACAAGUAAUACACAGAUUUAUUCGCCAGAAGAAACUUUAACUGAUAUUUUAGCGAGGUUACCUGUGAAAUCACUUUUGCGAUUCAAACGUGUAUGUAAAAGAUGGUGUGAUCUAAUCAAAAGUGUGCGUUUUAUCAGAAAGCACUGUGAUAGCCCAGGCAAUCGUACCCGUCCAGUGGUUUGCAAGUUCGGUGUUGACUACAACCAUGAGCCUGAGCCUCUAAGGGCUUUUAAUUUCUACGUGCUCCCUGAGAAAAUAUUCGCGGGCAUUGUCCCUACUCAUCACAGGCUUUAUCGUUGCGAAGGAGUUACGGAUUUCAGAUGUAUUUAUGGUCCGGUUGAUGGCCUAUUCGUAUUAGAGAAUGGGCAUUAUUUAGACAAUGUUCGGUUUUGUUGGUGGAAUCCUGCAACUAAAGAGUGUAGGCUUAUGCCCAAGUUUAAUUUCGAGCUUGACCUGUUUUUUGAAGAUCACAGCCGGACAGCUGGGAUGGGAUUAGACCUGGUCAAUAACGACUAUAAAUUUUUAUGGAUUCGAGUAUUUUACAAUGAUGAGAAAAGAGAGGUUUAUCCUAAGACGUAUGUUGCUCUUUAUUCGUUGAACAAUGACUCUUGGAAGGUUUUAGAUGAGCCUGAUUUAGCUUAUGACUGUGAAUUAUGUGUCACUUAAUUGCACGUAUUUGAACGGACUUCAUUAUUGGAUGUCCUUUACCAGGGACAAGGACAAUGAUGAUAACAACAUAUACGGCAUUAAAACGUUUGAUUUUGCAACUGAAUUAUUCGGGGAGAUGGAGCCUCCACCUAUUCCAGGGGAUCACUGGGGGACUUUAAUGUUACGCGGUGGCUCUCUUGCAGCUAUGUCUUGUAGUGAUACCUCACAGCCUAUGACGUCCAUUUAUGAUAUAUGGGUAAGGAUCGGAGCGAAUAAUUGGAUCAAAGUUUUUUCUGUAGAUCCUCCGAUAUCAUGGCAUUUUGCUCUCGGCGUGUGGGAUUAUGAUAAGUUCAUUUACGAGCUAACCCAAACUAACAAGAUGGUUUUAUAUGACCAUAGUACUAAAAAAGUUACAAGUCUUGGAUUUGAUCAUUUUCAGCGUUUAAGCUCCAGCUUCUGUUGGCCUCUGUAUUAUAAGGAGAGCAUAGUUCCAAUAAAGAGAAAAGAACCGACUGAGUACGAUCAUGCUGAAUACUUUUUCACAAAGUAUCGAUAAUCAAACACGAGAUGUGAGCGUUCAAGGACAAAUUCAACAGCGAUCAGCCUAAUUAAAGCGGUGGAAGAAAAAAGAGGCAGAAAAUAUAUGAGAACAUAGCAAUGUAAAUAUAGUGGUUAAAUGUGCUUGUUGCUGGAUACUACUGAUUGUAUAACUCUUGGGAUAAAGAUUUUGUUCAUUCAUAAGUUUUCCCACUCCUUUUUAUGUGUGAAAUUACAUCGACCAAUUUGCUUUAGCGUUUGCAGCGAAUGGAAAGAGAAUGAAUAUAUGAAAGUGAAUUGAAUAUAAUCAAUGUAUGUCCAUAGUGAGUCUUUAAUGUGAUAAAAGGUGUAUUUGAGUUUGGGCUGCUUUUAUAAUAUGCCAGUAUACAUUAGAAGCAUAAUACAUCUUCAUAUGUUAUAUUCCUUCAGCAGUAUAAAUAGAGUGGGAAUGAAUUAGCGCAUAUAUAUUUGGUGGGUGGGGGUGGCGGUGGGGGUGGGGCGAUUCAAUAUUGGGAACUUUGUGGUGGAGCUAGAAUAAAGUUUAUGGGUUCGAUUGAACUCAAUAACUUUGGUUCAAAUCCUAUUUUGUCUUAAGAAAUUCACUGAAUAUGUAUAACUUCUUAAUUUAGACUAAAUAACUUAAAAGACCUAGAGUCUCGAGCACAUAAGCUUCAAGUGAGCAGCUAAACAAUAAUAUGAUAAAACUAACGUCAAAGUUCGUAAUAGCCGAUUCUUUUAGGCACUAAUUGUAGUAAUUUAAAGAGUUUAAAUUAUAUGCACUGCCAGUGUAUAAAUUUUGUACAUCAUCAGGUAGUAGUGACCUGCUAUAGCAAGUUAUUACUUUUUUACUAAAGUAAAAUUUCUUCCUUUUCAAAAUUACUAACUCUACCUUUUCUUACUUCUUCCCUUGUCGCCCCCGCCUUGCCCCAUUCCUCUCUCUCACCCUCCAUCUUCCUCAUUCUCUCAAAUUAUAAUGAUUUAAUCAUCCAUUUAUUUUUUUGGUCAUGUGUCUCAUGUAUAUAAUGUUUAUCUGAAAUAUUGAUGUACUAAUUGUUAUAUGAUUAUUUUUUGGUAAAGAUCCAACAAAUUAUAUAGCUUAAUAAUGUGAUUUUAAGUUGGUCCUUUUUCUCCAAAUUCACAUAUAUUCAAUUUGCAAUUCUACCUAAUAGAUAUUCAUAAAGUUUGUUGAAUUAGAUUAAACUGAAGUUAAGAAAUAAAAAUGAUCUAUUUAAUUCAAACCAAGAAAGACCAAUAAUCAAGAAGUUUUUAGAACCUAAUUAUAUUUUCAUGAUUAAUAAUGGAUCAAAAAAUUUCAUUAGUGAUUUCUGACGGUAAUGUUGAGAAUUAAAUUAUCAAAAAAUAGUAAUAAAUUUGGAAUAAUUUUAGUAAGAAGAUAAAUAGAAUUCUACUUGUCUUUGAUAUUUUUUUUAUGAAGUACAAUCAUAAGGAAAUAACUACCAAUUAUCAAAGUUAGUGUGGUUAAUUACCUUUAAAAUGACUUGAUGAUGUAACAAAGUUAGUACACUGACAGUGCAUAGAAGUUAAACUCUAAUUUAAAUGUGUAAAAAGAAAAAUUUUAAUCUCAACACUUGUUUUCCCUGGAAAAAAAGAAAAAGGCCUGUUUUCACCAUGUAAUCAGGAUUAUUUUUAAAAAAUUAUUGAUUACUCCAACAUAUUGAAAGGGUAAAACUUCAUUCUUUUUGGCUACCAAAGUAUGAAUAUGUUCGCCCAACAAAUAGAUCACCAACUAUAGGUCUCAAAGAUAUCUGACACUGUUGAUGUUUACAAAUGAAAAAACAUAAAAUAAAAGAAUAGGAAAAGAGACAUAUCUUAUUAAGGUGAAAAAAGAGUGGUUUAAAUACAUAAAAUCUUAAUAAAUCUGCAGUAACUCAAAAACAGAAUUUCCUAUAAUUAGGAACUAAGUCUACCUAUAGCAACAAUUGAAAACUAAUAUAAAAAAUAUCUGUCUUCUGAAAACAAAAGGCACAUCAACAGUUAUGUCGUCAUGCCAACCCAAUAUCAAUUAAUAGCUCAUGAGGCAAAUUUCAACACUCCUUGCAUCAAGAGCUGCGAACUCUAAGUUUGUUUCUCAAGAACUCAAAUUUGCUUGUUGAAAGAGCUUUUGUAAAAAUAUCAACCAGCUGCUCUUGUGUUCUGCAAUAUACCAAAUUCAUUAGACCAUUCUUUUGCACUUCUCUAAGAAAAUAUAGCUUUACAUGAAGUUCUUGGCUUUCUAGAAAUACUGGAUUAUGAAAAAUAACAAUGACAGCUUGAUUGUCCACAAAUAUCUCAGUGUUUUCCUUCAUCUCCAAACCAAGAUGGCAAAAGAUUUUCUUUAUCCAUAAAGCUUGGUUGACUGUAGUUGUCACAACUGUGAAUUCUUCCUCUGCACUUGAUUGAGCAACAAUCUUUUUUUUGAACACCAAGAAAAACAUCCAGCGCCAAAAUAAAACAGUAUCCUGAAGUACUUUUCAUAUGUUCAGCAGAACCACCCCAAUCACUGUCAAAAAAUCCUUGAUGUUUGAAAUUUUGACACUUGCAAAAUUUGAACCCAUAAUCCAUUGUACCUUUGGCAUAUCUAAGCACUCUUUUUGCAGCUUUCAUAUGCAAUUAACUUGGAGAAUUCUAAAAAUGGGAUAGUACACUUACAACAUAUAAUAUAUCUGGCCUUGUUGCUGUAAGAUACGUUAAACUUUUGUAACUUUCUUUUCGUACUCGUUCAACACCAUCAUCCUUCAUUAGAUUCUCUCUUUGAUUCAUAGGCGUGCUCAUACUUUUGCAUUUUCUAUUCUAAAUCUCUUUAGAAUCUCCUUCAUAUAUUUCUUUUGACAAACAAAGACUUCAUUCUGAGUUUGCUUAAUCUCCAUUCCCAGAAAAUAAGUCAUCUCUCCAAGAUCAGUCAUCUCAAAUACUUUCAUCAUUUCCUCCUUGAAUUCUUCAAUCAGCGCUAUAUUAUUUUCUGUCACAAGUAAAUCAUCAACAUAUAGAGACAUAAUAAUAAUGAUACUAGAGCCAACUUUCUUAACAUAAAAAGUCGGUUUACUUAAGCUUCUUUUGAAGCCCAAGUCUAGCAAAUGGUUAUCCAUGCGGCUAUACCAAGCUUUAAGAGUUUGUUUUAACCCUUAUAGAGCUUUCUUUAAUAGAUAGAUCAUAUCUUUAUGUCUCGGUACACUAAAUUCUUUUGACUGCUCAACAUAUUUUCCUCCUGCAAUAGACCAUUCAAGAAAAUAGAUUUCAUAUUCAUUUGAAAAAUAUUACAACUUUUCUAUGUCAUUAUAGCUAAAAGCACUCGAAUAUAUCCAACCUAAUUACUGGAGAAAAAGUAUCAGAAAAAUAUACUCCCAAACUUAUGCAUAGCCUUUCACCACCAAUUUUGCUAUGUUAUUGUUUAUUGAGCUGCCUGGAUUGAGCUUUUUUUGUAAAAUUUAUUUAACUUCUAUCACUUUUCUAUCUAGUGGUCUUUUCAUUAGCUUUCAAGUUUGAUUAUUUUCUAUCAUAUCCAGCUCCUACUUCAUUUCAUCUGUUCAUUUUUGAUCAAUUUUUAUUUCCUCGUAUUCUGCAGGUUCAAAAAUAAUAAUAUUGCAUCUCUAAUGAAUAUCAGAGUGACCUCAUUCCCCUAAUAGAUUGAUCAUCCACCAAUUCAUCAUAAUCAAGCUUUGAAUUGUUCUUCGAAACUCAAAACUUAUCAUUCCUAUCCCAUUGAUCAUAUUUUACGAAUUGAACGUCUCUAUUUAUCAUAAUUUUUCCCGAUUGAGGUUGAAAGAACUAGUAAGCUUUAGACAAUAAGCUAUAGCCAAUGAAGAUUCGUAAAUCUAUUUUUUUAUUUAACUUGUCUCUCCUAACCUUUAGAGAGUAAGAAAAACAUAGAUAUCUAAAUAUUUUGAGGUUUUUAAAAUCAGGUUUGAAACCAUAUCAUGCCUUGACCAGAGUCUUUCCUUUCACUGUUCAUGUAGACAGUCUAUUCAGCAAGAGAGUAGUUGUGUUUGUUGUUUUUGCCUAAAACUUUUCAUUAGAUUUUUCUUAUGAAACAGGCAUCUUGACAUCGCCAUGAUUGUUCUAUUAUUACUCCUACUAACUCUAUUUUACUGUGGGAAGUAAAGGACAGUGAGAUGGUGCUCUAUUUCAGCUUCUUCACAAAAAACAUGUAAUCUAUCAGAUGUAUAUUCAGUUCCAUUAUCUGAUCUAAUAACCUAAAUCUUACAGACCUUCUGAUUAUUCUCUAUCCAAGCUUUGAACUUCCUUAAAAUUUCAACAACUUCGUACUUAAACAUCAUAAAAUAAAUCCAACACAUUUUUGUUAGAUCGUCAAUGAAAAUAAUAAGCGACAGAGUUCUUUGUGGAUCACAGAGAUCGAUAUGAAUGCGUUGUACUUCUCUGUAGCUCUACAUAUGGAACUUUUAAAUGAAAGUCUAGUCUGCUUGCCAAGCAAACAAGCCUUAUAUCUUGAGAUAUACUCCUUCAAGUUUGGUAAAUCAUUUACCAUUUUGCUUCUUUUGCAUAAACAACAACACUUUGUGAUGAUAAUCCCCAACCUUUUAUGCCAUGUUUCUACAACUACGGACUGACUUGAAAAAGCUAUGUGUUCCUCAUCUAAUGAAUUCACAAGAAACCUUUUUCCCUGCAUUUUAAUUCUGAACAUUUCUUGACCACUAGGAUCACUGAUAGACAUGCCUUGUCAUCUAAUAAUAAUUUGAAUUUAUUUUUCAGCAGUUAUUCAAUACUUAAUAAAUUUUGAUCAAGCUUAGGAACAAACAACACAUCAUAAAUAAGUUUUGUGCCUUUAUAAUUCUUAAUUGUUAUAGUCCUCGUUCUUGUUGCGGAGAGGUGUUCUCCAUUUUUUAUCCUGAUUCUUGAUUUAACUGAUCUAUAAAGCUCUCUAAAAAGCUUUUCAUUACUGGUCAUGUGGUUCGUACAUCCACUACAAAUAAGUCAACUUUUACUUAUAUAAGUUUGCAUAACAAGUAGCCACAAAUAAUGAUUCUUCUCAUUCUUGGUCUGCAAUUUGUAUAUCAUUUCGUUGUAGUAAAUCCUUCUCUUUGUAGAUAAUCUUGGCAUGACCAAGUUAUUGACACUUUCGGUAUUUCAUGUUAGGCUUUCUCCAACACUUAAACUGUGAAUGAUUUAUUCUCCCACAAUAUUAACAAGAAGGAUACUUGCCUUCUUUGUUAUUACCGGUGGCAGUAUUCUUAUUUCUUGCAGAUGUAGCUUUGUAAUUUCCUUUCUUUCCUUUUCCUUUAUUCCCCCUAGCAGCACUUGAACCAAGCUGUAACUUGGCUUGUAGGGCUCCCUAAAUGGAUCCUUCUUGCCUCACCAUCCUUCGUUGUUCUUGUGCCUACAGAGCACUCAAUAACUCUGUCAAUCUAACCUUUGACAGAUCUUUAGUAAUGUGGCAAUACUUUCCUCAUAUCUUUCAGUUAAGGUUUUAAGUAUCUUUUGGAUUAUUUUAUUGCCAUUAAGUUCAAUUUUAAGUAUCCUUACAUAAUUUGCAAUCACAAGCAACCUAUCAGAAUAAUCCUUAAUGAUUUCAGAUUCCUUCAUUUGCUAUAUCACAAAUUCUCUAACCAAGUUCAGUAUUUCCAUUCCUCUGAUUCUUUCAUCUCCCCCGUACUCUUUCUUGACGAAUUUUUAAAUUUCUUUGGCUGAAUUAUAUGUCAUUUUUCUACUGAAAAUGGUGGCAGAAACUGCAAUGAAGAGAUAGGAUUUAAUUUUGGACUUUGUCUUUCUUUCCUUAUGGGUUUCAAUCUGAGCCAUAGUUGGACUCCCUGGUAGAGUAAGCACUUCGUAGUCUUCGUCGACAACCUUUCAUAAAUUGCAGAACUCUAAAUAAUCUUGCAUUUUCACUGCCAUGGCUUGGUAGUUUUCUCCAUCGAAAACUAAUGGAGCUAUGGCAGAAAAAGAACUUGCAUUCUUCAUUUUUUGAAUGGUGUUUUGUAGCCACAGUUUUGGAUAAACACUUAGAAAAAAAAUCUCAUAAGUCCUGUAAGAAGUGAGACUCUGAUACCAAUUUGUAGAUAUUUACAAAUGAAAACAUACACUAAAAGAAGAAAAAAAGAGAGAUAUCUUAUUAAGGUGAAAAAAGAGUUGUUUAAAAACAGAAAAUCCUAACAAAUCUACAGUAACUAAUGUAGUAAUUCAAAAACAGAACUUCCUAAUAACUAGAAACUAAGUCUACCAACAGCUACAUGCCUAAAGACUAGAAAACUCACAACUAAUAAACUAAUACAAUACAGGAAAUAACUUUGUUCUAAAAAUAAAAAUACACAUCAACAAUCAUGUCAUCAUGCCAACCCAACAUCAAUUAAGAGCUCAUGAGGCAGAUUUCAGCAUGUAUUGUUUCUAACAAUCCCCUAUCUUGGUUUUUUUAGGUCAGGUACUUGCAAUUCCUAUGAAAUAUUCAUGAUAAUUUAUUGGUCGAACGCACAAUUCAUCUUAUAUUUAAUUUUCCUUUAAAUUAUAGGUACACUCCGGAUAUUUAAAACUUAGCCACUUAUUAAAAUACUAUACAAACUUGUUAUAAUUUGUAACAUCUCAAUUAUAUUACCGGGCUAAUCGUUUGUUCAUAAAUUCCUUGAUUGGAUUUGUUUUUUUGUCCGAAAUGAAGCAAUGGCAAUUGGCGGGGAUCUUGAAGAGAGUGAUAAAUGGUAGUACUAGUGGAGGGACCUGACCAAUUAUAAGAUUUAACAAAAUGUUUCGAGAAAAUUUCAUCCAUAGACAUUUAAUUGUGCGUCUAUUAUACAAGAAUAAUUUUUUUUUUAAUCACACCAAAGUCAUUUUACUUAAAUGAUAUGGUAACUGUUAAUUAAUACAUUUACUUAAUCAAGUACAGUUAAUAUACUGAACUAACAUUUUAUACAAAGUUUAAAUAACUAUUUAAGUUUAUAUAAAACAUUAAUUUUUAUAAAUAUCACAAAUACUUAUAUAAUUUUUCAUGAAAAUUUUAAUUAUUCUGAAUAUGCUAAUUUACUUUACACCUUAAGUUCAUGCAUUAAAAGAAAGUCGUGAGUCAAAACUUAUUAUUCAAAAAAAAAAAACUAUGAUAUUUACCUAUAUAUAUUUUUUUUAUCUUUUUUAUUAACUUUAUUCACUUGAUUAAAUUAAACUCAUAAAUAACUUCAAGAUAUUUACUUCACAAUUCAUGAAAAUUAUACCCACCAUAGUAAUAGAUUAAUAAUCGAUUAUAACUUGAAAAAUGAUGAAAUAAUUUUUUCUAUUUGUAGGGAACAAAGUAAGAAAGGAAAAUACUAUUAUUUUCUUAAAAUAAAAAGUUUCGAACCAAAGUGAUAUAAGCCAAAUUGCUGGAUAUCAAUUAUAUUUAAUUUUAAUAAUUAAAAAAUUAAAUAAAUUGAUUUGAUUUUAAUGUUAAUCAAGAAAAUACCCAAAUGAAAUAUGAACUAAUAAAAAUAUUGCAUGUGAGUUUUAAUAUUAAUUAAUUUAAACAAUUAUAUAAUAUAAUACAUUGCUAAAUUAAUAAAAUUAAUCAUUUUUGCUAAAUAUUCUAAUUAUUUGUAUAAUUUUUUUUGUAUAUUGAACUAUGUAAUACUUAUAAUUAUCUUUUAGAACAUAAUUUUUCUUCAAAAGAGUUACUUGGGGUUUUGGGCUGUAGGUGAUAAAAGAGUUUUAAAAUGAGCUGUAGGUGACACAAGUCUUAAUAAUUGAGUGAAUGUACAAUUACUUUAUUAUAGAUUAAGAAAGUUGGAAAAAUUUUAAAAUAACCCACAAGUUUUUAAAUUUACACUUUGAUAUAAAUGUUAGUUUAUAUAACGAAAAAUAGAGGAAAAAAGGUGUGUUUCUCUCUCUUCUCAUCCGUUGUUGUCUUCUCUCUUUUCGCGAUUUUUGUUGUUCAUUGCUGCUGCUGCUUUAUUCAUCAUCUUCUGCUUCAUUAUCAUCUUCUUAUACUUCAUUAUCCCCUUCAUAUUCUUCUUGUUGACCAUUGUUGCUGUUGUUGUUACCGCAACUGUUGCUCUUUGACCAAUUUCUUAGGUCAAAUUUUGUUUCGUACAUCACUUUCAACUUCGACAUUUACUUGAUAGGAGACUUUGGUAAGUCAAAUUAUACUUUUUAGUUGAAUUUGUCAUCUAGGUAACUGCUAGUGUGCUUUUUUUUUUUUCCAACAAUAACUAGCACGUGAACAUGAAUGCAACAUAAGAGCCAUCUGCUUAAACAAAUUCAUAAUCUGUUGCACCAAAUAGAUAUUCUGUUGCAAUAUAAGACUCAUAUGUUGGAUUCAUAUUUAUGGUUCUAUAGUGCCCGUAACAUGAAUUGAACAGAUGGGUAAUCUGUUGCACCAUAUUAGUAAUCUAUUCUAACAAAUAAUUAAUCUGUUGCACCAGAUUAGUAAUCUGUUCCAACAAAUAAUUAAUCUGUUGCACAAGAAUAUUUAUCUAUUGCAACAUAUUAUAAUUCUGUUGCAACAGAUGAAUAAUUUGUUUCAAACAACACAAUAUAGCUCCUGUCACAAACCCAACAGAUAACCUAUAUGUUGAUCUCUUGCUAUUGAUACUGGAUUCAAAUUAUUCCUUAAUCAUAGACAUGUUUGUUGAGAAGAAGAAAUAUACAGAAUAAAAAUUAAAUAUGAACUAAAACCUGAAAGUGGAUGAAACAUAAAUUUUUUUACUAAACAAAAAAAUAAAAAUACAUAGGUAAAAGAAAUAUUUCAUAUGUUGGAUUCAUGAUUAUAGUUCUAUAGUGCCCGUAAUAUGAAUCGAACAAAUGAGCAUUCUGUGACAUAUUAGUAAUCUGUUCUAACAGAUAAUUAAUCUGUUGCAAAAAAAUAUUUAUCUAUUACAACAUGUUAUAAUUUCAUUACAACAGAUGAAUAAUCUGUUUCAAACAACACAAUAUAGCUCCUGUCACAAACCCAACAAAUAAUCCUUAUGUUGAUCUUUUGCUACUGAUACUGAGAUUCAAAUUAUUCCUUAAUGGUAGACAUGUUUGUUGAGAAAAAGAAAUAGACAAUAUAAAAAUUAAAACGUCAAAGUGGAUGAAACAUAAAUUUUUUAUUAAACAAAAUAAAUAUAAAUAAAUUUAUACAUAGGAAAAAAAUCUAAUUAUUAUUAUUAUUAUUAUUAUCAUCAUUGUUAUUAUUAUUAUUAUUGCCAGCCAGCCAACCAAUCUUCAACCAGAAGCAGCAACGCCAUCCUCAUCCUGCGGAUCUCCCAUAACACCCUUACUCUGACAGCGGUCAACUCCCACUGUAUAUCAUGAACCUACCUCUGCAGUUCUCUACGGUAUCUCGUAAAAUAAUGACAUCCCACACUGGAUCAGCCAUAUCUAAAACACGUAUAAAUUGACAAAAAACACAAAAAUAAAAGGAAAGAAAAGAAUUCGAAAGCAAUACAACAUAGAUUUACACAAAAAAUAAGAAUUUUUUUUAUUAGAGAGUGGGAAAAGCUACCAAGUCCUUGAAGAGAAAGUAGUUGAAGGUGUAAUAUGAAAGACAAGAUCAAGAAAUAAAUAGAUAUGUGUAGUAGAAUGAACGAGUAAGGAGAGACCUAUUUAUAGAGGAUAGAGUUUGAAUGAGUUAGGCAAAAAAAGGCGCGACUGUUCAGGUCCAUUUAUUAAUUAUAUUCAAACUGGUGACUUUUUAAUUACUGUGGAAAGUUAUGACUUAAUUAGUUCUUUUCGGUAACCGCUUUUAUUGAGUUGUGGGAACAGAUUAUAUAUCUAUUGCAUUAGAUAACCCAUCUAUGACAACAAAUAUACUAUUUGUUGUAACAAAUCUUCAAUUUGCUACAUUAGAUAAUAUAUCUGUUGCAAUAUAUAUCUUUUUAAUAAUCAUCAUAUCUUUAUCUUUAAUCCAAAUUUGGUGACUUUUUUAUUAUAUAAAUUAAAAAAAUAGAUUCAAAAACAAAAGGGGUGACUGUUCACCUUUAUUUAUUAAUUACAUUCAAACUGAUGAUUUUUUUUAUUACUGUGGAAAGUUAUAACUUGAUAAGUUCUUUUCAAUAACUGUUUUUAUUAAGUUUUGGCAACAAAUUAUAUAUCUGUUGCAUCAGAUAAUCCACCUGUGACAACAGAUAUGCCAUUUGUUGCAACAAAUUUAUAAUCUAUUGCAUCAGAUAAUAUAUCUGUUGCAAUAUAUAUCUUUUUAAUAAUCAACAUAUCUUUAUAUUUAAUCAAAAUUUGGUGACUUUUUUAUUAUAUAAAUUAAAAAAAUAGAUUCAAAAAUAAAAAGGCACGACUGUUCACCUCUAUUUAUUAAUUACAUUCAAACUGAUGACUUUUUGAUUACUGUGGAAAGUCAUGACUUGAUAAGUUCUUUUCAGUAAUCAUUUUUAUUGAGUUGUGGCAACAAAUUAUAUAUCUAUUGCAUCAGAUAACCAUCUGUGACAACAGAUACACCAUUUGUUGCAACAAAUCGACAAUCUAUUGCAUCAGAUAAUAUAUUUGUUUCACAUAUAAGCUAUCUUUUUUAAUAAUCAAUAUAUCUUUAAUCCAAAUUUGGUGACUUUUUUAUUAUAUAAAUUAAAAAAAUAGAUUUAAAAAUAAAUAUGUCGAAGAGUCACGAUCAGUUAUUAAAAUUAAAUAAUUGUUCUUUUACGGUUAUAAAUUGUGUUUAUCAUUUAUUUUUUUAUUUUACGAACCAUUUUUCAUAUGUAAAAGGUCAUGACUAAAGACUUUUCACCCUCUCAAUAAUAAUAAUAUAACCCUUUUUUAUUAAUAAUCGCUUGUUGCAACAUAUGAUCCAUCUGUUUAGGUAGAUUCGAUAUAAAAAAGGAAAAUACAUACGCUAGAAGGAAAUGUACAUAACCUAUUUAUUAUUACUACUAUUAUUAUUAUCAUUAUUAUUAUUAUAAGUAUUACUAUUACUAUUUUCAUUUUCUGAAGAACAAUUUUCAUCCAGCAGCAGCAGGACCCUCCUCUGCCUUGGUCUGAAUUCAACCAAAUCCCUCUGGAGUUCAUUAUACUGCCUUCGAAGUUUUUGGAAGGACUCAAUAUAAAUAUUUUUGUAAAAAUCUGGAUCAGUCAUAUCUGAAAGUGUAGUAGUAGAAUGAACGAGUAAGGAAGGGGUUAGUCAAAAAGCCACGACUGUUCAUCCCUUAAUUAAAUAAAACUGGCGACUUUUCAAAUAUGUAAAUUAAAAAAAUGGAUCUAAAUAAAUAUUGUAAAAUCUUUAUUGUAUUUCGGAAAGAAAAUAAAAUUGGUUUAAAAUAAAUCUAACAGAUGCAUAAUCUGUUGCAAAAUACAUUCUAUCUGUUGGAUAAUUUACAAAAUAUUGAAACUGUUACAACAGAUGUAUAUACUUGUUUGAUAUUUCCAACAGAUAAGUCCUAUGUCGCACCAGAUUGAUCAUAUGUCAUAACAGAUGUCUAUAAUUGUUUGACAAUUUAAAUAGAUGUGGCAUCUAUUGCAACUUGUUAGUUAUCUAUUUAUCAAUUUAAGCCAUAGAUGGGCAAAGAAGAAUGAGGUAUGUGCAGAUGGAUGGAUCCCCUUUCAUGUGUGGGAGUUAAGUAUUGCUGAUGAGGUCAUCGGGACAACACACACAUAGUACAAUGUUUUUGUGAAUGUAGUUUUUAACUGAUUAGGUACUAAUCAUUCAAAUAAGAUCCUACAUUGUACAGUUAAGUUUGAUGGGUUCGAAUUGAUAAGGCCGAGGGCCCCAUGAUGAUGGUGCCGAUACCCUGUUACGAAUA